rnacentral:rRNA from 1 species
AACGAACGCUGGCGGCAUGCCUAACACAUGCAAGUCGAACGAGACCUUCGGGUCUAGUGGCGCACGGGUGCGUAACGCGUGGGAAUCUGCCCUUAGGUUCGGAAUAACUCAGGGAAACUUGAGCUAAUACCGGAUGAUGACUUCGGUCCAAAGAUUUAUCGCCUAAGGAUGAGCCCGCGUAGGAUUAGCUAGUUGGUGAGGUAAAGGCUCACCAAGGCUACGAUCCUUAGCNGGUCUGAGAGGAUGAUCAGCCACACUGGGACUGAGACACGGCCCAGACUCCUACGGGAGGCAGCAGUGGGGAAUAUUGGACAAUGGGCGAAAGCCUGAUCCAGCAAUGCCGCGUGAGUGAUGAAGGCCUUAGGGUUGUAAAGCUCUUUUACCCGGGAUGAUAAUGACAGUACCGGAGAAUAAGCUCCGCUAACUCCGUGCCAGCCGCCGCAGUAAU